rnacentral:rRNA from 1 species
UGCGAGUCGAGCGUCUCUAGCUAUGUUGAGACGCGGCAGACGGCUCAGUAACACGUGGCUAACCUACCCUCAGGACGAGGACAAACCCGGGAAACUGGGGCUAAUACUCGAUAGGUGAGGAUGCCUGGAAUGGUUCUUCACUCAAAGGACUUUAGAAACAUGCUUCUAAAGUUGCCUGGGGAUGGGGCCGCGUCCGAUCAGGUUGUUGGUGAGGUAACGGCUCACCAAGCCUAUAACCGGUACGGGCCGUGAGAGCGGUAGCCCGGAGAUGGGUACUGAGACAAGGACCCAGGCCCUACGGGGCGCAGCAGUCGCGAAAACUCCGCAAUGCACGAAAGUGUGACGGGGCUACCCCGAGUGCCAUCCGCUGAGGAUGGCUUUUCCUUGGUGUAAUUAGCCGGGGGAAUAAGGAGAGGGCAAGACUGGUGUCAGCCGCCGCGGUAAUACCAGCUCUCCGAGUGGUAGGGAUGAUUAUUGGGCUUAAAGCGUCCGUAGCCGGCUUAGUAAGUCUCCUGUUAAAUUCAGCGACCUAAUCGUUGAGCCGCGGGAGAUACUACUAUGCUAGGAGGCGGGAGAGGUCGACGGUACUUCUGGGGUAGGGGUGAAAUCCUAUAAUCCCGGGAGGACCACCAGUGGCGAAGGCUGUUGACUAGAACGCGCUCGACGGUGAGGGACGAAAGCUGGGGGAGCGAACCGGAUUAGAUACCCGGGUAGUCCCAGCCGUAAACGAUGCGGGCUA